rnacentral:rRNA from 1 species
AGUGAACGCUGGCGGUAGGCCUAACACAUGCAAGUCGAACGGCAGCACAGUAAGAGCUUGCUCUUACGGGUGGCGAGUGGCGGACGGGUGAGGAAUACAUCGGAAUCUACUUUUUCGUGGGGGAUAACGUAGGGAAACUUACGCUAAUACCGCAUACGACCUACGGGUGAAAGCAGGGGAUCUUCGGACCUUUCGCGAUUGAAUGAGCCGAUGUCGGAUUAGCUAGUUGGCGGGGUAAAGGCCCACCAAGGCGACGAUCCGUAGCUGGUCUGAGAGGAUGAUCAGCCACACUGGAACUGAGACACGGUCCAGACUCCUACGGGAGGCAGCAGUGGGGAAUAUUGGACAAUGGGCGCAAGCCUGAUCCAGCCAUACCGCGUGGGUGAAGAAGGCCUGCGGGUUGUAAAGCCCUUUUGUUGGGAAAGAAAAGCAGCAGGUUAAUACCCCGCUGUUCGGACGGUACCCAAAGAAUAAGCACCGGCGAACUUCGU